CCUACGGGGGGCAGCAGUGGGGAAUAUUGCACAAUGGGGGAAACCCUGAUGCAGCGACGCCGCGUGAGCGAAGAAGUAUUUCGGUAUGUAAAGCUCUAUCAGCAGGGAAGAAAAUGACGGUACCUGAGUCAGAAGCUCCGGCUAAAUACGUGCCAGCAGCCGCGGUAAUACGUAUGGAGCAAGCGUUAUCCGGAUUUACUGGGCGUAAAGGGAGCGUAGGCGGCCUGCCAAGUCUGAUGUGAAAUACCGGGGCUCAACCCCGGGGCUGCAUUGGAAACUGGCAGGCUGGAGUGGCGGAGAGGCAGGCGGAAUUCCUAGUGUAGCGGUGAAAUGCGUAGAUAUCAGGAGGAACACCAGUGGCGAAGGCGGCCUGCUGGACGGUGACUGACGCUGAGGCUCGAAAGCGUGGGGAGCGAACAGGAUUAGAUACCCCAGUAGUC
rnacentral:rRNA from 1 species